rnacentral:rRNA from 1 species
UACGGGAUAGGCAGCAGUGGGGAAUAUUGCACAAUGGAGGAAACUCUGAUGCAGCAACGCCGCGUGGAGGAUGACACAUUUCGGUGCGUAAACUCCUUUUAUAUGGGAAGGAUAAUGACGGUACCAUAUGAAUAAGCACCGGCUAACUCCGUGCCAGCAGCCGCGGUAAUACGGAGGGUGCAAGCGUUACUCGGAAUCACUGGGCGUAAAGCGCGCGCAGGCGGCCUAUUAAGUUGGAUGUGAAAGCCUACGGCCUCAACCGUAGAACUGCAUCCAAAACUAUUAGGCUAGAGUCUGGGAGGGGAAGAUGGAAUUAGUUGUGUAGGGGUAAAAUCCGUAGAGAUAACUAGGAAUACCAAAAGCGAAGGCGAUCUUCUGCCGAACAGUACUGACGCUGAGGCGCGAAAGCGCCCCUGGGGAGCAAACAGGAUUAGAU